rnacentral:lncRNA from 1 species
CUCCAACCUGCAUUUCCACUGCCCGCGGCCCUGAUGCAACCUUAUAAUUCAAUUCCUCCGUGAUUCAACCUUGUUUAGUUCAGCCUGGUCCGCCCCCAUCACUAGUCCAUCACGCGGGCCACCAUCACUCCGCCCAUAGCCCACCGCCAACCGCCGGUCCAAAGGUUAGUUUUGCGUUGCCUAAAUUUCAAUCAUUAUUUGAUUCUAGAAUUUCAAAUUUCGAAACAUAUUUGUGACUUGAUUUGUGAUUGGUGAUGAAUGAAUAUUGAUUUGUGGAUGUAGAUGAUGCAUUCAUCCACUAUAAAUUUUGAUGUGUGCAGAUUAUACAUGAAUUAAAGAGAAAUUUAUUCAUUUAGGAAUUAAGAGAUAGAAAAAGCAGGGAAAAGAUUGAAAACUAAGCAUAAAAUGUCGUAAAUACCGAGAAUACCAAAAAUGAUGCUUCCAUGAGCAAAAUUGAUUUCACGUAAAGUUCAUUGAAAUAAUUCCCCAUUCCUUAUGCUUAGGCAUAUAUUUUGUGAGUUUGUUUUCUGUCAAAUAAAGAAAUUAAGGUUGGAAGACAUUGUGAACAGACUAGAGUCAGAUUCUCUGGACUAAUCUAUCAUUACCCAUUCAGAAAUCAGCAUAUAUUUAAUGCUCGUUUGGCUUUAUUAGGAAUGCUUGAGGAAUACUAUUAGUCAUGUGAAAUGCCUAAAUCUCAUUGAAAUUUCUAAAAUGGUGAGGGAUCUCGGGGUACGAAGAUGUGUUUUUUUGUCUCCACUUUUUACCCAUUAGUAAAGCUAGUUUCUGGGUGCAAUUUUUUUGAAGGUCGUACAAUGCUGAUCUUCUCAUACACAGAUCGACUCAUGGUCCUAUAAUGUAUGAAAUGGGGGUAUGUUUAGAAUUUUUUAAUUGAUAUAAUCCUCAUGGAUUUCCACUUUAAGUGGCAGAUUAUAGACAUCCAAUUUAAAGGCCAUUAACAAUUUCUUUCACAUCUUGAGAUAAUGCAAAAGGCAACAACUACUUGGCUAUCUUGUUUUUUGAAAACUGCAGGUAAAUGGCAAGAAAGUAAAUCUAUGAAUCAUUAGAUGAAUAACUUACAGGCCCUUUAAAAGAGAUUUGCUUGAUUUUUAGGCUUUGCCAAAACAAAAAUGCUCCUCAUCCAGGCCUAAAAACAGGGGGCUGAGGUGGCCCCUGUUUUUAGGCAUGUCCCCAGGCCUGGAUCUGGAGCAAGGUUAUUGCCAGAAUAGACAUGUCUAUAUAGAUCUUUGGAAAAAUACAAAAGAGGGUAAUUUGAGAUUUGGCGUAAUUUCAGAUUGCAAUCCUGCAACCAUUGUGAUGCUUUCUGCCUAGUUUUGUUUAUUAGUAUUACACCACUUUAUAUUCUAAUUGCUUUCUUUUUGGUUUGUUACUGAGCAUCCUAUUUUUUCUGCUUAGACUUGUUGCAAAAUAAAAUGUAGCAAAUAGGAAAAACCAUGCAUAGUUUACUUUUUUUAGUGUUUACUUUUGAUAUAGCGUAUAAUAUAUUCUCAAGCAAAAAUUUUGUCUUAAUGCAGUGAUGUCUCAGAUGAAAGCUAUGGCUAAGGAUAUUCAACCUUUACUGGCAAACGUUCAUGAUGGUAGUUUGCUUAAGGAAGUUGAGAAAUUAACCAAAGACCUUUAUUAGCUGAAGUUAAUUGUAGUGGCUUCUGAGGAGAGGAUGUAGAUUACUCCGAUAUUUAGUGUAUGUAUGAAAGUGUAGCCAGUUAAAUUGUGUUGGACACAUUUCUUUUAGAUUAAUGUUCAACUUGAUAUGUUUUGGAUUGAUUUUACCCAUUGAGUUUGUGUUAGUCACAAUGAUUUUGCAUGAAAGCAACAUUCAUCUGAUGCAUUUUGCAACGUACUUU